rnacentral:rRNA from 1 species
UACGGAGGGUGCAAGCGUUGUUCGGAAUCAUUGGGCGUAAAGGGCGCUUCGGCGGUCCGGUAAGUCGGGUGUGAAAGCCCCGGGCUCAAUCCGGGAAGUGCAUUCGAAACUGCCGGACUUGAGUACGGGAGGGGGAAGUGGAAUUCCUGGUGUAGGGGUGAAAUCCGUAGAUAUCAGGAGGAACACCGGUGGCGAAGGCGACUUCCGGGACCGAUACUGACGCUGAGGCGCGAAAGCGUGGGGAGCAAACAGG